rnacentral:rRNA from 1 species
GACGAAGGGGGCUAGCGUUGUUCGGAAUUACUGGGCGUAAAGAGCGCGUAGGCGGUUUGGUAAGUUGGAAGUGAAAUCCCGGGGCUUAACCUCGGAAUUGCUUUCAAAACUACCAGGCUAGAGUGUAGUAGGGGAUGAUGGAAUUCCUAGUGUAGAGGUGAAAUUCUUAGAUAUUAGGAGGAACACCGGUGGCGAAGGCAGUCAUCUGGGCUACAACUGACGCUGAGGCGCGAAAGCGUGGGGAGCAAACAGG